rnacentral:tRNA from 1 species
AUGGAGAGCAACAUUCAGGUGCGCGACUACUCGUC